AAAGGAUGGUGCACAAUCUCACUGCUCCCUACACCUGCAGCACAGGCAUCACUUGGGAAUCUGUUAAGAAUGCAGUAUCUUGGGCUGCAGAUCCACUGAAUUACAGUAUGAAUUUCAACAAGAUCCCCAGGCAAUUCAGGUGCACAGUAAAGUUUGUGAAGAGCCCUGUGGUGAAGAGAUCCAUACAAGUCCCUCUUCAUUUUUAUCUCCUUUAUUUCUGGCAUUCAGAGUCACUGGCCAAGAGUCUAUUUCAGGACAAAGGGCAAUAAAGCCAGACCAGCCUUCUGAACCAGCCUGCCUUUCACCAUCUGUGCUACAAAGAAUCUUCAGAUACGAAGAUCGGGAUACUUGCGGAGAUGAUUUCAACAAGGUUGUUUAUUCUUCAUUCAACGUGUGCGGGAUUCAGGAGAAUCAUUUGCAUUCUUACAAGAAGGUGCCACCCAGGGGAUUUCAUCACAGGGCCUCAGGGCAUGGACUGCAUAUGAUUUCCGUAUAUAUGAUGAGACUCAGCCUCAAAGUGGAUUCCAAGUAUUGGGCAAUCUCUCUUCAACCGCCUUCCCAAAUGGUACUUUUACUCUACUUUUUACCUGCAUUCAAUGGGCUACCCUUCCCCGUAUUCUCUAGGCGUGGCAUAUUCAUGAAAGGAAGGCAUCUCUUGGAAGUGACAGGAGAUAACAUUCCUGAAGAGUCUACUGACAGACUGGACUCCUUGGAAGUGGAUUUUCUGAUGAUAAAUUUAAAAGAAAACCCUAUCCCUAUAAGGGGAGAAUAACCUAAUUGCUCAUUUUACUUAAAAAUGAAGAGGUUUGCUGAUGAUGUGUCGAUGUGACUUUGGAGAACAGUAAGAAGAGAAUUCCAUGCAUACCUUUAGAACAUUAUCAGCAAAAGUUGUGUACCAAAUGUAUAGCUAGAUCCACAAAUAAGGCAAUAAACCAUAUGGACACACUGAGGCUUCUGAUUCU
rnacentral:lncRNA from 1 species